UACGAAGGGGGCUAGCGUUGUUCGGAUUUACUGGGCGUAAAGCGCACGUAGGCGGAUCGAUCAGUCAGGGGUGAAAUCCCAGAGCUCAACUCCAGAACUGCCUUUGAUACUGGUGAGCUUGAGUCCGGAAGAGGUGAGUGGAACUGCGAGUGUAGAGGUGAAAUUCGUAGAUAUUCGCAAGAACACCAGUGGCGAAGGCGGCUCGCUGGUCCGGUACUGACGCUGAGGUGCGAAAGCGUGGGGAGCAAACAGG
rnacentral:rRNA from 1 species